AUUGAACGCUGGCGGCAGGCCUAACACAUGCAAGUCGAGCGGAUGAAGGGAGCUUGCUCCUGGAUUCAGCGGCGGACGGGUGAGUAAUGCCUAGGAAUCUGCCUGGUAGUGGGGGAUAACGUCCGGAAACGGGCGCUAAUACCGCAUACGUCCUGAGGGAGAAAGUGGGGGAUCUUCGGACCUCACGCUAUCAGAUGAGCCUAGGUCGGAUUAGCUAGUUGGUGGGGUAAAGGCCUACCAAGGCGACGAUCCGUAACUGGUCUGAGAGGAUGAUCAGUCACACUGGAACUGAGACACGGUCCAGGCUCCUACGGGAGGCAGCAGUGGGGAAUAUUGGACAAUGGGCGAAAGCCUGAUCCAGCCAUGCCGCGUGUGUGAAGAAGGUCUUCGGAUUGUAAAGCACUUUAAGUUGGGAGGAAGGGCAGUAAGUUAAUACCUUGCUGUUUUGACGUUACCAACAGAAUAAGCACCGGCUAACUUCGUGC
rnacentral:rRNA from 1 species